GAGGUAUGCUGUCAAAGACCUAUGGU
rnacentral:sRNA from 1 species